GACGAACGCUGGCGGCGUGCUUAACACAUGCAAGUCGAACGGAAAGGCCUGCUUUCCCUUGUGGAUUGCGGGUACUCGAGUGGCGAACGGGUGAGUAACACGUGAGUGAUCUGCCCCCAACUUGGGUAUAAGCCUGGGAAACUGGGUCUAAUUCCCGAUAGGACUGCAGGGUGGUGCCUGUGGUGGAAAACGAUUUUCUAGUGGUUGGGGAUGAGCUCGCGGCCUAUCAGCUUGUUGGUGGGGUAAUGGCCUACCAAGGCGGCGACGGGUAGCCGGCCUGGGAGGGGGGACGGGCACAUUGGGACUGAGAAACGACCCAGACGCCGACGGGAGGCAGCAGUGGGGAAGAGUGGACGAUGGGCGGAAGCCUGAUGCAGCGACGCCGCGUGGAGGAUGCCGGGCUUCGGGUGGUAAGCUGGUUUCGAGCGCGAGGAAGCCACCUGGUUGGAAGGGUGGUGACGGUAGUGGUAGAAGAAGCACCGGCUAACUACGUG
rnacentral:rRNA from 1 species